AUUGCUCCUAUUGAAUCCACUAAAAAUGGGAGGAUUACAUGGUCUGGAUUAUAUUGUUUGGAUAUUGAAUGGCUAGCAUACUAAAGGGCAAUAACAAUUGACCCUUCUUUCAAGGGUAAGAUUAAUAUUUUCACCUUUCAAUCUUCUUGACUUCUUACCAACUUGCUCACUUGUUCCAGGCAUCUCGGAGGCCCUUCCUACUUACGAGCUAGAACCUGAGCCCGAACUUGUUUUAGCUCCAUCUGCUCCUAAAAGGUAUAAGUCUUUAGCUCGUUACCUUCCUCUUGGUUCACCCAUUGGUCUUCAUCUUCAACAAUGAAAAGUUAAAAAUUCAUCAUCCAUCCAGAUGGAUUUAGAUGAAAAAGAAGACAAAAAAUUUUUUUUCUCAUAGUAUAGCUUCAACCACA
rnacentral:lncRNA from 1 species